rnacentral:rRNA from 1 species
CCAGCAGCCGCGGUAAUUCCAGCUCCAAUAGCGUAUAUUAAAGUUGUUGCAGUUAAAAAGCUCGUAGUUGGAUUUCUGUUAAUAAUUUAUAUAUAAUAUUUGAUUAAUAUUUAUAUAAUAUUAACAUAAUUCAUAUUACUAAAUUUAUUAGUAUAUGAAAUUUUACUUUGAGAAAAUUAGAGUGCUUAAAGCAGGCAUAUGCCUUGAAUACUCCAGCAUGGAAUAAUAUUAAAGAUUUUUAUCUUUCUUAUUGGUUCUAAGAUAAAAAUAAUGAUUAAUAGGGACAGUUGGGGGCAUUUGUAUUUAACAGUCAGAGGUGAAAUUCUUAGAUUUGUUAAAGACAAACUAAUGCGAAAGCAUUUGCCAAGGAUGUUUUCAUUAAUCAAGAACGAAAGUUAGGGGAUCGAAGACGAUCAGAUACCGUCGUAGUCUUAACCAUAAACUAUGCCAACUAGAGAUUGGAGGUUGUU